GUACACACCGCCCGUCACACCAUGGGAGUUGGCUUGACCCGAAGACGGUGCGCUGACCCCGCAAGGGGAGGCAGCCGGCCACGGUCGGGUCAGCGACUGGGGUGAAGUCGUAACAAGGUAGCCGUAGGUGAACCUGCAGAAGGAUCA
rnacentral:rRNA from 1 species